CGGCUGCAGUCGAGAAUCUUCCGCAAUGGACGAAAGUCUGACGGAGCGACGCCGCGUGGAGGACGAAGGCCUUCGGGUUGUAAACUCCUGUCACGAGUUAUGAAGUCUGCAUGACGAAUAGUUGUGCAGAUUGACAAAGGCUCGAGAGGAAGCACUGGCUAACUCUGUGCCAGCAGCCGCGGUAAUACAGAGAGUGCGAACGUUGUUCGGAAUUACUGGGCUUAAAGCGUACGUAGGCGGCAUAACAAGUGUCAGGUGAAAUCCCACGGCUCACCCGUGGAACUGCCUGGCAAACUGUUAAGCUAGAGUGUGGUAGGGGAGAACAGAACUCAUGGUGGAGCGGUGAAAUGCGUAGAUAUCAUGAGGAAUACCGGUGGCGAAGGCGGUUCUCUGGUCCACAACUGACGCUGAGGUACGAAAGCUAGGGUAGCGAACGGGAUUAGAUACCCUUGUAGUC
rnacentral:rRNA from 1 species